UGACUCCGAACAGAUGUACAGUUAGGUCAGCUGAACAGAUGGAGGGUUGGAUUAGCUGAACAGAUGGAGGGUUAGGUUAGCUGAACAGAUGGAGGGUUGGGUUAGCUGAACAGAUGGAGGGUUGGGUUAGCUGAACAGAUGGAGGGUUGGGUUAGCUGAACAGAUGGAGGGUUGGGUUAGCUGAACAGAUGGAGGGUGGGUUAGCUGAAACAGAUGGAGGGUUGGGUUAGCUGAACAGAUGGAGGUU